rnacentral:lncRNA from 1 species
AAAUAUGAAUGAAUCCUUGUAAAAUAAAAGAGAUAAGGAAAGAGAAAGAUACAAAGAGAUAUAUAGUGCUUCGACAUUCAUCCUCGCUUUGCCUAUGCGCUUUUUUCAAUGGAUGAUGUCAUCGAAACAUAAUCACAGUCUUCCACUAUUUUGAUAAAAUGAUUACAAAUUUUUGAUUAUAAAGAACUAUCACACGAUAAUUCCCUCUGAUUAUGCAUCCACUAAACUACUAACAAAAAUAAGAUCCCUCAAGAUCUUGAGCCAAUAACCUGCUCCAAGUAUUUCGUGUGUGGCGAUCCCUUGAUCCCAUUGAUUUCUCGUCUGAGCGAUUGCCUUUAACUGAGUGUAUAUUGAAAAACUCCCAACUUUGUCUGCAAGCAAUCUUUCUCCAAUGCCACCAAAGAAUGACAACUUCCAACUCCACCCUUACAGACUGUUGAUACUUGAUCUUGACAAAGUCUUCCUUCGAGUAUAUUGGAAACACUCAUCUUGAUAGAUAACAACUUAAUACCAAACAUCACUCAAGAAAUGAUACCUGCACCUGUUACAUAAAAACUAGCUACACACAAAAACAUUAGAUAACCUAAUGUACCACUUGUCUCCCUUACACUUAAUCUUUAGAGGAGAGUCAAUAAUCAAAGGAAAAGGCUAAGGAUGAAGAUGGUGAACAGUGCCACAUAAUCUGAACCAACCACUGACAUUACAAGGUGUUAGUCAAGUAAUUCAGUUUUGAUGAAUGAAGAAUACACACAGGGUUCAAUCAAGUUUUUAGAUGAGUGGGUCUUGGUUCUUGAUUGUUAUCAAGAUCAAGAGAUUUAUCAAUUCUAAAAAAGAUUGAUCCCCCUAAUUGACCCCAAUAAUGGUAUUAGAGUGGCUCGAGUGAAAAUAACGGCUCAUUUGUAUCGAAAGUAUCCCCACAUGGUCAUGGAUAGAGUGUUCCAUUGAAAAAGUGUCAACGACGAUACAUGUUUAUGUGGACAAAAGAAGUUUUCACUUGAGGGGGAGCAUCGUAGAUAGACUCACACUUGAGAGAGAAUGUUAGAAUAAUAAGUGUGAGUUGUAUGGAGAAGUCCCACAUUGGUUAGAAAUAUGGAGACUUCAACAUUUAUAAGUGCGAGAACUCACAUACAAUUCUCUCACAAAGGCGUGUUGCUCUUAAAGAAAAGUCCUAAAGUGUAAAAAAUGCUCCCUCGUGUUUAACCCUCUGAAUUGACCCUAACAUUUUUUACUUCUGCUUUCAUACCAUCAGUACACAGAGCACCUCAUCAU